AGCUGCCUUGCCCAAGUCCACACCCUUCUCCAGAGACAGACCACCACAGAGGAAGGAGACAAAAUGUCUGGUAAGGAAGUGCUCAUCUAGCCAAUACCUGCCCCUUGGAGAUGGGGGACUUGGGAAAGACAAAACAGAAAGCAAAUGGAGGGAACUGUAACUGCCGUAUCUUGAGGAAGGAAACUACUCACUCAUCUUGGCUAUUAAACUUCAAUUGAUACACAUUUUCCGAGGAAUUUUACGGUGGCAAAGAACUGGAAAUCAUUCCAUCUCUCUCAAAUAAAACUUGUGGACAGAUUGAAAGGA